AAACCUUAAAAAAACUGACUGGUCGACCUGGUCAAGCCAUGGCCGAACCUGAGGAACCUCACUGGAUCAAGUGUCCGGGUUAGGGCCCUUUAUAUCCAAUAUGUGUUUCCUCCGGAAAGCUCAUUGUAGCAGUCGUCUGGAUCUCGAGUAAAAAGCUUAGGUAAUCUUAUGUACGUUUCUCCAAUCUUAGAUUCUGAAAUUCUUAUGAAUAAUAAUAACUGAAUUGGAAUUUAAUAUGAUGGUUGAAUCAUACGAAUGGGUGGAGAGAGUAAUGAAGGUGAGAUGGGGUUAAACUAUGAAGAUGAUGAAAGUGGGAUCUCAAGAGUUGGAAAUAUAUCAGUGCUUUCAUUUUGAUAUUGUCUCCAUCAAGGGAAUUUGCUUCACAAACAGAGAAGACGAUACAAUCUACUGGGAGUACAUACCAAUAUUCAGGCUUAAGCCUGCAUCGGUGGUAAGAGUAUUGUAGAAGAUAUCAAGAAGGAAGAGUGUGGUGUACAUAGAACACCUGGUCGACCAAAUAAAAUGAUAAAAAGAGGAAAUUUACAAACUAAGGCUGUUAAAUUUUUGAUUCUUGAUAAGAGUAAUGAAGGUGAGAUGCUGAGCAAAGGUUUCAAAGACGAAAUUUACGAGGCUUACAGAUACGAUGUUCAGGGAAUCGAACAAUAUUAUGUUGAUGUUGUGAAGAAGAGUGGCAGUUUGAUACACUUUGUGAUCUUUAUGGGACGCUUAUUAUCAAUCAAGCUAUUAACUUCUACAGCACAAGACAAAAGGUGGAUUAGCUUACUAAGAAGAUGGGGAGUAGUAACUUUAUAGUGGCAUCAAUGAAUGGAGACAAACGUCAAAAGGGGAGAGAUGAAAUCAUGAACCAGAUCUGGUCUUUUAAAAGUCGCUUCACAAGCUCCCACUACCAUUCAAUGGUGAUGGACAAUCCAUAGAUAAGUUGCUUUAUUACCAUCCCGGUUCAAGCUCAGGUUAUCCGGACAUGUUUGAGCGUCUUUUCCCGUUUGGUGAUUGUGGAGGUGGUGUCACUGGUCAGAUUGGUCAUUUUCUUGGUUCCAACAAGAAAGUAGAAAGUGUUGGAAUAUUGAUCAGAGCUGGAGAGUCUCAUGAGGAUCGUCACCAGGUUUCAGGUGAUGGUGUUCUUGGUGCUUCUACAAUCAGGAAAGAAGGCAAGUCAUAGUCGAAUCGAAAUGGACAAUGUAGAUUUUGGUUUGGUAGCAACAGGUUUGAUUCUCAUACGAGAACUAUUAGGAAUAAAACAAAAACUUUUGACGGUGGUUUGUGCUGAAAAAAAGUGAUUUCACAACCUUUUACAUAACUUCUUCAUUUUUAUUGUCCUCUAAAAUUUGCAGAUA